UGGGGAAUAUUGCACAAUGGGCGCAAGCCUGAUGCAGCCAUGCCGCGUGUGUGAAGAAGGCCUUCGGGUUGUAAAGCACUUUCAGCGAGGAGGAAGGUGGUGAAGCUUAAUACGCUCAUCAAUUGACGUUACUCGCAGAAGAAGCACCGGCUAACUCCGUGCCAGCAGCCGCGGUAAUACGGAGGGUGCAAGCGUUAAUCGGAAUUACUGGGCGUAAAGCGCACGCAGGCGGUUUGUUAAGUCAGAUGUGAAAUCCCCGGGCUCAACCUGGGAACUGCAUUUGAAACUGGCAAGCUAGAGUCUCGUAGAGGGGGGUAGAAUUCCAGGUGUAGCGGUGAAAUGCGUAGAGAUCUGGAGGAAUACCGGUGGCGAAGGCGGCCCCCUGGACGAAGACUGACGCUCAGGUGCGAAAGCGUGGGGAGCAAAACAGGAUUAGAUACCCUGGUAGUCCACGCUGUAAACGAUGUCGAUUUUGGAGGUUGUGCCCUUGAGGCGUGGCUUCCGGAGCUAACGCGUUAAAUCGACCGCCUGGGGAGUACGGCCGCAAGGUUAAAAC
rnacentral:rRNA from 1 species